AGUGGAAUUGCUGGGUCAUAUGGUAACCCAAUGUUUAACUUUUUAAGCAACUUCCAAAAUGUUUUCCAUAGGGGUUGUACCAUUUUAUGUUCCCACCAGCAAU
rnacentral:pre_miRNA from 1 species